CGCACAUUGCGCCCGUUAGUAUUCUAGCAGGCAUGCCUGUUCGAGCGUCAUUUCAACCCUCAGGUUAUAUGUACAACCUGGUGUUGGGGCACCUAUAGUGAUUAUAGGCCCUAAAAAUUAGUGGCAGGCUCACUGAGUUCCCGAGCGUAGUAGUAUCUUAUUUUCGCUUAGGGUGUACAGCGGGAUUACUAGCCGUUAAACCCCCAAAUUAUCUAAUGGUUGACCUCGGAUCAGGUAGGAAUACCCGCUGAACUUAA
rnacentral:misc_RNA from 1 species